rnacentral:rRNA from 1 species
UGAGGAAUAUUGGUCAAUGGACGGAAGUCUGAACCAGCCAAGUAGCGUGCAGGAUGACGGCCCUAUGGGUUGUAAACUGCUUUUGUAUGGGGAUAAAGUUAGGGACGUGUCCCUAUUUGCAGGUACCAUACGAAUAAGGACCGGCUAAUUCCGUGCCAGCAGCCGCGGUAAUACGGAAGGUCCAGGCGUUAUCCGGAUUUAUUGGGUUUAAAGGGAGCGUAGGCUGGAGAUUAAGUGUGUUGUGAAAUGUAGACGCUCAACGUCUGAAUUGCAGCGCAUACUGGUUUCCUUGAGUACGCACAACGUUGGCGGAAUUCGUCGUGUAGCGGUGAAAUGCUUAGAUAUGACGAAGAACUCCGAUUGCGAAGGCAGCUGACGGGAGCGCAACUGACGCUUAAGCUCGAAGGUGCGGGUAUCAAACAGGAUUAGAUACCCUGGUAGUCCGCACAGUAAACGAUGGAUGCCCGCUGUUGGUACCUGGUAUCAGCGGCUAAGCGAAAGCAUUAAGCAUCCCACCUGGGGAGUACGCCGGCGGU